GCCGGGGUGGCCGAGCGGUGCAGGCGGCGGGCUGCAGACCCGCUACUACGUGGGUUCAAUUCCCACCCCCGGCU
rnacentral:tRNA from 1 species